rnacentral:rRNA from 1 species
UACGUAGGGUGCGAGCGUUGUCCGGAAUUAUUGGGCGUAAAGAGCUCGUAGGCGGUCUGUCGCGUCGGCUGUGAAAACCCGAGGCUCAACCUCGGGCCUGCAGUCGAUACGGGCAAACGAGAGUACUGCAGGGGAGACUGGAAUUCCUGGUGUAGCGGUGAAAUGCGCAGAUAUCAGGAGGAACACCGGUGGCGAAGGCGGGUCUCUGGGCAGUAACUGACGCUGAGGAGCGAAAGCAUGGGGAGCGAACAGG